rnacentral:rRNA from 1 species
UACGUAGGCAGCGAGCGUUGUUCGGAAUUACUGGGCGUAAAGAGUGUGUAGGCGGUGCUCUAAGUUCGGUGUGAAAUCUCCUGCUUAACUGGGAGGGUGCGCCGGAAACUGGAGUGCUUGAGCGUGGGAGAGGAAAGCGGAAUUCCUGGUGUAGCGGUGAAAUGCGUAGAUAUCAGGAGGAACACCUGUGGUGUAGACGGCUUUCUGGACCAUUGCUGACGCUGAGACACGAAAGCGUGGGGAGCAAACGGG